AUUGAACGCUGGCGGCAUGCCUUACACAUGCAAGUCGAACGGCAGCAUGGGUGCUUGCACCUGAUGGCGAGUGGCGAACGGGUGAGUAAUGCAUCGGAACGUACCCGGAAGUGGGGAUAACGUAGCGAAAGUUACGCCAAUACCGCAUAUUCUGUGAGCAGGAAAGCGGGGGAUCGCAAGACCUCGCGCUUCCGGAGCGGCCGAUGUCGGAUUAGCUAGUUGGCGGGGUAAAGGCCCACCAAGGCGACGAUCCGUAGCGGGUCUGAGAGGAUGAUCCGCCACACUGGGACUGAGACACGGCCCAGACUCCUACGGGAGGCAGCAGUGGGGAAUUUUGGACAAUGGGCGCAAGCCUGAUCCAGCCAUGCCGCGUGAGUGAAGAAGGCCUCGGUUGUAAGACUC
rnacentral:rRNA from 1 species